CAGCAAGUAGUUUAAUUAAAAUAUUAGUUUUGGGUACUGAUGAUGAGGCUUUCUUCUUGCUGA
rnacentral:tRNA from 1 species